AACCAUUCGGUAUCCAACCGCGCCUUUUCUGGGCCCCAGCCUCUUUGGGCCAGUUGUACCCGAGCGAUCGACUAGUCCGGAUUCGGGCCGGGCGACAAGUAAAGCCCUCCCCGGUACCCUUUUUAACAAGUGAGGAUUCGAACCCCCACCCUCAAAAAGCAGAGACUCGCCUCACUUGUGGCCUAGCCAGUCACCACUAGGUCAGGAGAAUUUGGGAAAAGCUAU